GAUGAACGCUGGCGGCGUGCCUAAUACAUGCAAGUCGAGCGAACAGACGAGGAGCUUGCUCCUCUGACGUUAGCGGCGGACGGGUGAGUAACACGUGGAUAACCUACCUAUAAGACUGGGAUAACUUCGGGAAACCGGAGCUAAUACCGGAUAAUAUAUUGAACCGCAUGGUUCAAUAGUGAAAGACGGUUUUGCUGUCACUUAUAGAUGGAUCCGCGCCGCAUUAGCUAGUUGGUAAGGUAACGGCUUACCAAGGCAACGAUGCGUAGCCGACCUGAGAGGGUGAUCGGCCACACUGGAACUGAGCCACGGUCCAGACUCCUACGGGAGGCAGCAGUAGGGAAUCUUCCGCAAUGGGCGAAAGCUUGACGGAGCAACGCCGCGUGAGUGAUGAAGGUCUUCGGAUCGUAAAACUCUGUUAUUAGGGAAGAACAAAUGUGUAAGUAACUAUGCACGUCUUGACGGUACCUAAUCAGAAAGCCACGGCUAACUACGUG
rnacentral:rRNA from 1 species